GGAGUGGUAGUUCAGUUGGUUAGAAUACCGGCCUGUCACGCCGGUGGUCGCGGGUUCGAGCCCCGUCCACUUCGCCA
rnacentral:tRNA from 2 species